rnacentral:rRNA from 1 species
GAAUUCGCCCUUAGAGUUUGAUCCUGGCUCAGGAUGAACGCUGGCGGCGUGCUUAACACAUGCAAGUCGAACGAAGCACCUACCAAGGAUUUCCUCGGAAUGACUAAUAGGUGACUGAGUGGCGGACGGGUGAGUAACGCGUGGGUAACCUACCUCAUACAGGGGGAUAACAGUUAGAAAUGACUGCUAAUACCGCAUAAGCGCACAGUACUGCAUGGUACAGUGUGAAAAACUCCGGUGGUAUGAGAUGGACCCGCGUCUGAUUAGCUAGUUGGUGAGGUAACGGCUCACCAAGGCGACGAUCAGUAGCCGGCCUGAGAGGGUGAACGGCCACAUUGGAACUGAGACACGGUCCAAACUCCUACGGGAGGCAGCAGUGGGGAAUAUUGCACAAUGGGGGAAACCCUGAUGCAGCGACGCCGCGUGAGUGAUGAAGUAUUUCGGUAUGUAAAGCUCUAUCAGCAGGGAAGAUAAUGACGGUACCUGACUAAGAAGCUCCGGCUAAAUACGUGCCAGCAGCCGCGGUAAUACGUAUGGAGCAAGCGUUAUCCGGAUUUACUGGGUGUAAAGGGUGCGUAGGUGGUAUGGCAAGUCAGAAGUGAAAACCCGGGGCUCAACCCCGUGGAUUGCUUUUGAAACUGUCAAACUAGAGUACAGGAGAGGUAAGCGGAAUUCCUAGUGUAGCGGUGAAAUGCGUAGAUAUUAGGAGGAACACCAGUGGCGAAGGCGGCUUGCUGGACGAUAACUGACGCUGAGGCGCGAAAGCGUGGGGAGCAAACAGGAUUAGAUACCCUGGUAGUCCACGCUGUAAACGAUGAAUACUAGGUGUGGGAGGACUGACCCCUUCCGUGCCGCAGUUAACACAAUAAGUAUUCCACCUGGGGAGUACGACCGCAAGGUUGAAACUCAAAGGAAUUGACGGGGGCCCGCACAAGCAGUGGAUUAUGUGGUUUAAUUCGACGCAACGCGAAGAACCUUACCAGGGUUUGACAUCCAACUAACGAAGUAGAGAUGCAUUAGGUGCCCUUCGGGGAAAGUAGAGACAGGUGGUGCAUGGUUGUCGUCAGCUCGUGUCGUGAGAUGUUGGGUUAAGUCCCGCAACGAGCGCAACCCCUAUUGUUAGUUGCUACGCAAGAGCACUCUAGCGAGACUGCCGUUGACAAAACGGAGGAAGGUGGGGACGACGUCAAAUCAUCAUGCCCCUUAUGUCCUGGGCUACACACGUAAUACAAUGGCGUCCAACAAAGGGAAGCAAAGCCGCGAGGCAGAGCAAAUCCCCAAAAGACGUCUCAGUUCGGAUUGCAGGCUGCAACUCGCCUGCAUGAAGUCGGAAUUGCUAGUAAUCGCGGAUCAGCAUGCCGCGGUGAAUACGUUCCCGGGCCUUGCACUCACCGCCCGUCA